GACGAACGCUGGCGGCGUGCCUAAUACAUGCAAGUCGAACGAACCGCGACUAAGUGCUUGCACUAAGUCAAGGUGAGUGGCGAACGGGUGAGUAACACGUGGGUAACCUACCUCAUAGUGGGGGAUAACAGUCGGAAACGACUGCUAAUACCGCAUAGGACAUAGGAUCACAUGAUCCAGUGAGGAAAGGUGGCGCAAGCUAUCGCUAAGAGAUGGACCCGCGGUGCAUUAGCUAGUUGGUAGGGUAAAGGCCUACCAAGGCGAUGAUGCAUAGCCGACCUGAGAGGGUGAUCGGCCACAUUGGGACUGAGACACGGCCCAAACUCCUACGGGAGGCAGCAGUAGGGAAUCUUCCGCAAUGGACGCAAGUCUGACGGAGCAACGCCGCGUGAGUGAUGAAGGUCUUCGGAUCGUAAAGCUCUGUUGUUAGAGAAGAACAGCGCAUAGAGUAACUGCUAUGCGUGUGACGGUAUCUAACCAGAAAGCCACGGCUAACUACGUG
rnacentral:rRNA from 1 species